rnacentral:lncRNA from 1 species
GCGACCUGGGGCGCGCUGGGCCUCGCAGAGCAGCCGCGGACCCCGGCGAUCGUGCCGUGUUCGUCUCCUUUGUGUUUCUUUAUUGAGUCCCUACUACCUCUACGGAUAUUCUGGGGGCAAUUAAAGAAAAUCACCGCUUCAUAGGCAGCACAUAUUUCCCAUAGAAAUGUGGAAUGUAAGAAAGGCACAUAAAGCAAUCCAAGUUGCCUGCAGAUAUCCACAGCCUACUUCAGUCUCAGUAAUGCUCUUUUAACCUGGUGCAUCAGUUUAAGGGAAGACAUGAGAUCAUGGGUUUAAGUGAGGCUUCAUCAUGCCAAGACAACGUGAUCAGUUAUUCCCAACCUAUAUAACUCACAUACACUGGAGGAAAUAUCUUCAUGGAAUUAAAACCACAUGGAGUAACAUUUCACGUAAGCAGAAUUCAGGAAUGAUUUCAGUAAUUCCAUCCCAAACACACACAGGCAAAGGGAGUGAAGAUUUCUUCAGCAACAUGGUGGCAGAAAGAUCAUGAAAAGAUCUAGGCCAGUCCAAGCUCACUGCAGUUAAAUCUUCAGUCUCCAGCACUGCACUUGGGAAAGCGUCAAGGAGUUGAAUGUAUAUGUAAUUGGAGUGCCAGAAGAAGAGAACUGAGAGAGAGGGGCAGAACAGCUCAUGAGGGGGAAAACCCACUACAUACAAACAAGAAUACUGCAGACUCCUCAUCAGAAUCUAUGCUACCUGUAAAGGCUUGUAAAAGCACAGAGCUGCUCUCACCAUGCAGCCAAAGAAGAAAUGAGGAUAUCGGUCCUAUAACUGCAAGGAACUGAAUGCUGCCAACCACCUGAACGGACUUGGGCUACUGAGAAGAAGCUAUUCUAGCAAAGCUGGAGGAAUUCCACCAGACUGACAGAACAACACAAAUAAGUCCAUGCCUGACGCACAGCAGGGGCUCAAGGCAAGUUUGUGGACUCGAAGCCCUGUUAGAAUGGAUGGAAUUUGGUCUUAUGAAGCAGAUAGAAGAACAGGAGCUUGACUGUAAAGAUUUGUCUCCACCUCUUAAUAAAGCAUAUCAUCUCCAA